rnacentral:misc_RNA from 1 species
UGAAAGCUCUUGACAAACUUGCCCAAUUAUGACCCAGGUUAGAAGGGGACCAUGAUGGUUUCAAAUUGCCAGUCAAACAUUUGUAAGCAGAAACAGGGGCAGAGGCAACAUCACGACGUCGCAACGAACGGAUAAGAGCAGCAGUGGCCAUUGGAAGAUCUUAGAAGUGCAAAACGAGGGAGAAGAAGAGAGAAAUGCGUUGGAUUUUAUUGGGGUGUUUUAGGGUUUAGGGUUUUACCGGGUCUGUUUUGUGAGGCGGAAGUGAGGCUUUCU